GCCAGUGGUGAACUCCACAUCCGCAUCCUUUGCUGAGGAUACGGUUAACGGAGCGAAAGCGACGUUCAACCGCAAAACAAGCAGAGGGGGCUUAGUGGUGGGGUGACUGCGUACCUUUUGUAUAAUGGGUCAGCGACUUAUAUUCUGUAGCAAGGUUAACCGAAUAGGGGAGCCGGAGGGAAACCGAGUCUUAAUUGGGCGUUAAGUUGCAGGGUAUAGACCCGAAACCCGGUGAUCUAGCCAUGGGCAGGUUGAAGGUUGGGUAACACUAACUGGAGGACCGAACCGACUAAUGUUGAAAAAUUAGCGGAUGACCUGUGGCUGGGGGUGAAAGGCCAAUCAAACCGGGAGAUAGCUGGUUCUCCCCGAAAGCUAUUUAGGUAGCGCCUCGUGAAUUCAUCUCCGGGGGUAGAGCACUGUUUCGGCUAGGGGGCCAUCCCGGCUUACCAACCCGAUGCAAACUGCGAAUACCGGAGAAUGUUAUCACGGGAGACACACGGCGGGUGCUAACGUCCGUCGUGAAGAGGGAAACAACCCAGACCGCCAGCUAAGGUCCCAAAGUCAUGGUUAAGUGGGAAACGAUGUGGGAAGGCCCAGACAGCCAGGAUGUUGGCUUAGAAGCAGCCAUCAUUUAAAGAAAGCGUAAUAGCUCACUGGUCGAGUCGGCCUGCGCGGAAGAUGUAACGGGGCUAAACCAUGCACCGAAGCUGCGGCAGCGAACGUAUCACCCAAGACAACUUUACGGAGUUGACGAUUGACGGAGCGAAGCGACGUCAAAGCGUUCAUUAAAGUCGAGUUGGCUUAGGGAUACGUUCGUUGGGUAGGGGAGCGUUCUGUAAGCCUGUGAAGGUGUGUCGUGAGGCAUGCUGGAGGUAUCAGAAGUGCGAAUGCUGACAUAAGUAACGAUAAAGCGGGUGAAAAGCCCGCUCGCCGGAAGACCAAGGGUUCCUGUCCAACGUUAAUCGGGGCAGGGUGAGUCGACCCCUAAGGCGAGGCCGAAAGGCGUAGUCGAUGGGAAACGGGUUAAUAUUCCCGUACUUGGUGUUACUGCGAAGGGGGGACGGAGAAGGCUAUGUUGGCCGGGCGACGGUUGUCCCGGUUUAAGCGUGUAGGUGUGUGUUCCAGGUAAAUCCGGUUCACUUUAACACUGAGGCGUGACGACGAGGCACUACGGUGCUGAAGCAACAAAUGCCCUGCUUCCAGGAAAAGCCUCUAAGCAUCAGGUAACACGAAAUCGUACCCCAAACCGACACAGGUGGUCAGGUAGAGAAUACCAAGGCGCUUGAGAGAACUCGGGUGAAGGAACUAGGCAAAAUGGUGCCGUAACUUCGGGAGAAGGCACGCUGACACGUAGGUGAAGUGAUUUACUCAUGGAGCUGAAGUCAGUCGAAGAUACCAGCUGGCUGCAACUGUUUAUUAAAAACACAGCACUGUGCAAACACGAAAGUGGACGUAUACGGUGUGACGCCUGCCCGGUGCCGGAAGGUUAAUUGAUGGGGUCAGCGCAAGCGAAGCUCCUGAUCGAAGCCCCGGUAAACGGCGGCCGUAACUAUAACGGUCCUAAGGUAGCGAAAUUCCUUGUCGGGUAAGUUCCGACCUGCACGAAUGGCGUAAUGAUGGCCAGGCUGUCUCCACCCGAGACUCAGUGAAAUUGAACUCGCUGUGAAGAUGCAGUGUACCCGCGGCAAGACGGAAAGACCCCGUGAACCUUUACUAUAGCUUGACACUGAACAUUGAGCCUUGAUGUGUAGGAUAGGUGGGAGGCUUUGAAGUGUGGACGCCAGUCUGCAUGGAGCCGACCUUGAAAUACCACCCUUUAAUGUUUGAUGUUCUAACGUGGACCCGUAAUCCGGGUUGCGGACAGUGUCUGGUGGGUAGUUUGACUGGGGCGGUCUCCUCCUAAAGAGUAACGGAGGAGCACGAAGGUUGGCUAAUCCUGGUCGGACAUCAGGAGGUUAGUGCAAUGGCAUAAGCCAGCUUGACUGCGAGCGUGACGGCGCGAGCAGGUGCGAAAGCAGGUCAUAGUGAUCCGGUGGUUCUGAAUGGAAGGGCCAUCGCUCAACGGAUAAAAGGUACUCCGGGGAUAACAGGCUGAUACCGCCCAAGAGUUCAUAUCGACGGCGGUGUUUGGCACCUCGAUGUCGGCUCAUCACAUCCUGGGGCUGAAGUAGGUCCCAAGGGUAUGGCUGUUCGCCAUUUAAAGUGGUACGCGAGCUGGGUUUAGAACGUCGUGAGACAGUUCGGUCCCUAUCUGCCGUGGGCGCUGGAGAACUGAGGGGGGCUGCUCCUAGUACGAGAGGACCGGAGUGGACGCAUCACUGGUGUUCGGGUUGUCAUGCCAAUGGCACUGCCCGGUAGCUAAAUGCGGAAGAGAUAAGUGCUGAAAGCAUCUAAGCACGAAACUUGCCCCGAGAUGAGUUCUCCCUGAGACUUAGAGUCUCCUGAAGGAACGUUGAAGACGACGACGUUGAUAGGCCGGGUGUGUAAGCGCAGCGAUGCGUUGAGCUAACCGGUACUAAUGAACCGUGAGGCUUAACCUUACAACGCCG
rnacentral:rRNA from 1 species